UACGUAGGGUGCGAGCGUUGUCCGGAAUUAUUGGGCGUAAAGAGCUCGUAGGCGGUCUGUCGCGUCGAAUGUGAAAACCCGGGGCUCAACUCCGGGCUUGCAUUCGAUACGGGCAGGCUAGAGUUCGGUAGGGGAGACUGGAAUUCCUGGUGUAGCGGUGAAAUGCGCAGAUAUCAGGAGGAACACCGGUGGCGAAGGCGGGUCUCUGGGCCGAUACUGACGCUGAGGAGCGAAAGCGUGGGGAGCGAGCAGG
rnacentral:rRNA from 1 species